CUUUCAGACGUCUUCUAUUAUAAUUCUCUCAUGACAGAUGGAGAAACGGAGAGUGGGGUAAAUACUGCCCUAGACACUUGGCCAGUCAUUGGCACAUCCGGAGUUCAACCUCUGAUCAGCUCACUCCAAAACCCACGCUCCCAAUCUUCACUGGCUUACCAGCGUGGGAGCGGAUAACUCGCCUGCAUAAAAAGAGAAGCUACCACCCAAACGGCAACACCAAUAACUGCAAAGCUCAUUUGGGCAAAGAAUGUCGUCAGUCUUUGAGAAGACGGCUGAGAAAGGAGCAGUCCCAGGGCUUUCUCAUCCAGAAAGAGAGGCUGAUGCCAACAGAGGAAAAGACGGAGGUGCUCCAUCUUAAAAGAGACCGAGGAGGUAGGACAAGGAAGUGCCAGGCCUGAUGCUGGAACUGCGCUGAAGGGGAAAGUGCUGGGCGGGCCUUGCGCGGCCACCUGACAG